rnacentral:rRNA from 1 species
GCCCAGACUCCUACGGGAGGCAGCAGUGGGGAAUAUUGCACAAUGGGGGAAACCCUGAUGCGGCGACGCCGCGUGAGUGAAGAAGUAUCUCGGUACGUAAAGCUCUAUCAGCAGGGAAGAAAAUGACGGUACCUGAAGAAGAAGCCCCGGCUAACUACGUGCCAGCAGCCGCGGUAAUACGUAGGGGGCAAGCGUUAUCCGGAUUUACUGGGUGUAAAGGGGGCGCAGACGGCGAUGCAAGCCAGGGGUGAAAGCCCGGGGCCCAACCCCGGGACUGCUCUUGGAACUGCGUGGCUAGAGUGCAGGAGGGGCAGGCGGAAUUCCUGGUGUAGCGGUGAAAUGCGUAGAUAUCAGGAGGAACACCGGCGGCGAAGGCGGCCUGCUGGACCGUGACUGACGUUGAGGCUCGAGAGCGUGGGGAGCAAACAGGAUUAGAUCCCCCCGUA